CAUUAGGUGAAGGCAGCAGGCAACUGUGUCCUAAAUUUCCAACUCUCUCCUGCUACUACUGAGGAGAGUUUGUCUGACCUGCCAGCAGUGCUUAUAGUUAUGUAAUAUGGAAUGAAGGGGAAUUCUAGUGACACCUGACCUCCACCCCCUCUGCGGUCCCACACCACAGGAAGAAUUGGAGGUGACACAGAUGAGCUGACACAGGAAUGCCCCAAGAAUGGCAAAGCCUGUACACAAUAGUGCUCAUUGAUCUUUUCUCACUGUACCAACAAAGACUCAAAGGAAUGAUGUAGGAAGCUACUACCAUACAGAUGUUUUCAGAAAAUAAAAGGUUAUGCCUCUGCUUUAAAUAACUGUAUAGAAGAAUAUUUUCCAUUUUUCUUCAGACUGCUGUAAAAAUACCUUAAACCUGAAUUAGAAAAUUGCCCAUGGGAACAAAGCAAAAAGGGUUCUCAUGUGGCAGAUGUUGGCUAUGGAGUACACCUAUGUCUUUAAAAAUGCUUUGUUCAAAUGGUACAGGUAUAGGAUCUGUUAUCUAGAAUGCUCAGGACCUGGAGUUUUCUGGAUAAGGGAUGUUUCUGCUGAUUUGCAUCACAAUACUUCUUUAAAACUUC